CAGUCGGUAGAGCAUGAGACUCUU
rnacentral:piRNA from 6 species